UAUUCUUCCUAUUCGGGAAGGAUGAGAAGCUUCGACGAAGGUUCGAUUCGAGCGUUAGCGAGAAAGCGUUGCCGUAGGCAACGACCCGAAGGGCGAAGCGCGCAGCGCUGAGUAAUCCUUCCCCCACCACCA
rnacentral:sRNA from 1 species